rnacentral:rRNA from 1 species
GACGAACGCUGGCGGCGUGCUUAACACAUGCAAGUCGAACGGAAAGGCCCUGCUUUUGUGGGGUGCUCGAGUGGCGAACGGGUGAGUAACACGUGAGUAACCUGCCCUUGACUUUGGGAUAACUUCAGGAAACUGGGGCUAAUACCGGAUAGGAUCUCCUGCUGCAUGGUGGGGGUUGGAACGUUUCGGCGGUUGGGGAUGGACUCGCGGCUUAUCAGCUUGUUGGUGGGGUAGUGGCUUACCAAGGCUUUGACGGGUAGCCGGCCUGAGAGGGUGACCGGCAACAAUGGGACUGAGAUACGGCCCAGACUCCAACGGGAGGCAGCAGUGGGGAAUAUUGCACAAUGGGCGGAAGCCUGAUGAAGCAACGCCGCGUGCGGGAUGACGGCCUUCGGGUUGUAAACCGCUUUAGCCUGUGACGAAGCGUGAGUGACGGUAAUGGGUAAAGAAGCACCGGCUAACUACGUG